UACGUAGGGGGCAAGCGUUGUCCGGAUUUAUUGGGCGUAAAGAGCGUGUAGGCGGCCAGGUAGGUCUGGUGUGAAACUCGAGGCUUAACCUCGAGAUGUCAUCGGAAACCAAUCUGGCUAGAGUCCGGAAGAGGAGAGUGGAAUUCCUGGUGUAGCGGUGAAAUGCGCAGAUAUCAGGAAGAACACCAUGGCGAAAGCAGCUCUCUGGGACGGUACUGACGCUGAGACGCGAAAGCGUGGGGAGCGAACAGG
rnacentral:rRNA from 1 species